GAAUUCACAGAGAUUGGAUUGCCUCCCCAGGGUUGUUAUUAUGAAGUUUGUUGUUGGUGAUGAUGGUGAUGUGAAUGCUUUCUUUCUUUCACUUUGUUUCUUUGUUUUGUCUGUCUGUCUGUUUAUUUGUUUUGGUAGUACUGGAAAUAAAAUUCAGGGUCUUAUACAUAUUAGACCAAGUAGGAACCAGCCCUUGGGAUAUAUAUAUAUAGUAAGUAAGAGUAUAAACUAUACUACUGUUUGCACACUACCAAUACAAAUCAAAAACUUUCCAAACAUUUAACUCUUUGAACUAGUCAAGAUUACAGAGACAGAAAACUGUAAAGUAGUUAGCAGAGACUGUGGGGGUAGAGAGGAAGCCAGUCAGGAGCGAGUGUUUAAUGGGUACAGGAUGUUAGUCUGAGGAGAUGAAUCCAUUCUGGGGGUGGAUGCCGGUGGUGAUUAUACAACAGUGUGAAUCAAGAUACACUUCCUGAACUUUAAAAAAAAUGGUUAAAAUAGUACAUUUGUUUUAUAUAUUUAACUACAAUAAAAAAGUGGAACUCUAGGAAAAAUUUUAGUGUGGUAGAGAUAUUAUACAAUAUAUCUAUAUUUCUGUAAUCUCAUGUGUAGAAGAAAAGGCUUAAAAAGAUUUUCUGAACAGAAAAUGACAGAUAUCACCUGGGUGGAAUUGUAAGCUGUCUUUCCUUUCAUGUGUUUCUUAAUGUUCUAAUAACUAUUUGGUAUCUGUAUAAGUACAAACAAUAAAGUGUGGAAGUGCUCUGCUUACAGGUCGGUCUCCUGAGCACUAUUGUCAGAGCAAUAGAACUGGUUGCUAUCUGCAAGCUUGUCAUAUAGUUACAUCCCUUGAAUAGUCUGUUUCCCACCUCGAAUGUUAAGUUCCAUGUGAGCAGGCCCUUGUCUUACUCAUGCAGGACCCAUAAUGCUUAAGCAGUUUGGGGCACUAAAUAGGCUCUUUAUAAAUGCUCCGAUGAAGCAAGGAGCCUGUGUGUAAACAGACAGGUGAACAGAAAGUAACCUAUCUGUCUCCGUCUGGAGCUCCUGCUUCUAUAACAAAUACAGAAACAGAGAAAUUUAUGAAUUUCUCAUUGUAAUGAAUUUCUUAUGGUCCUGGGAGCUGGGAAGUCCAAGAUGAACACACUGGCAGACUCAGUUCUGGCAAUGUCUCCUUUCACAGUAGAGAACCCCUUGCUCUAUCUUCAUGUGGAAGAAGAGGCCAGUAGCCCCUUUUUGAAAAGGCCAAUAAUUUCAUGUACAAGAAAAGCUCUGUCUUUGUGACUUAAUCACCUCCAAAAGGCACCAUCUCUUAACACUCUCACACUAGCGAAUAAGCGUCAAUGUAUUAAUGUGGAGGCUUUCAGACUGUAGCGCUCAGGUGGGAUCAUUGUUUUGUCCUGACCACCCACCCCAGGUAACCGCAGAUCAACCCUUUUCCUGGCAGCUGUAGGAAGGAUCACAGGAAGGGUUUUCUCGGAUGCGGGGUCCUCUAGAUGAAGCCUAAAUAGGUUAACCAGGAAGAAAGUAGUCUGUGUAGAAUCUGUGUCAUUUGGAGGAUGGCCCAAAGGGCAUAAGAAUGUGAAAAGCAGGCUAUGAACGAGGAGAAAUUCUGCGGCUACCUCCACUGGACACUGGAACUGCAGCCAGCACACAUUCAGCCAAUGAAUAUCCACCAAGCCUCUUCUGUGGUCCAGGGACUGAGCGCUUGAGAGAUUGCACAUCUCUGCAUUCAGCUCCUUUCAUUUUCUUCCUGUGACAUCUGUGCAGUUGCGACCAAGCACGGUUCUAAAUGGGAUACCAACGAUGGGUGGCUCACCGUCACAGAUCCAGAUGGGAGCUGUGGCAAGUCUCUGAGGUACACUUGGCACCGUGUUCAACAGAUGCUGAGCCUUUAUCCUGAGCCAUCUAUCAAGCCGUUGCCUCCCUCACCUCAUCUCCCUCGCCAUCUCCCUCCCGGCACAGCUUUCCCAGCAGCUGGUGUCACUUAGCUCUUCUGGUUUUAAAGUUGACCCUAACAAAACACACCUUGUACUGGGGCUCGGGAUUUGAGUCCAGCAUUACAAGGACUCUGGUCUCUUAAACUAAGCUACACGGAGUGACUCUGGGCAGAGGUCCACCCACGUCAUUGUACAAAAUGGAGGGCUACACAGACAGGGUCUUGUGUCAGAGCUUAGAUGAACAGGGUAGCCUGGCCUUGAUGAUGUUGCAAGUUCUUGCUUGGUCUUAUUUUGUGCGAUCUUGUUGAUGCGUUGGAGACACUUAAUACCUUACUUCUAGGCACACCUUUAAACACAUUGGUACCUGGGAAAACGGUUAUUUAUGUAGACUGAACCACGAACCAUUUUGUAAGUCUUCAUAUAUAACACCAAAGCUUUUGCACACAGGUUUGAAGCUUUCGAAUAAGGAGAUAAAGCCAGUCAUCAAGGCUAGUGGGGCAUCCUUCCCUUCUAGCCACAUUGGUGACUUUGCAGACUCCCUAAGAGACCCUUGGGAGAUUUUAAACUGCAGCCCCUUAAAGGCCUUCCAGUUUGAAUCUCUUACCUUGUAACUUGGGUUCUCAUUCCAAAAUCCAGUGACCUCAUUGAUUGCAGCACUUCAAUGCAGCCCAUGUACUAGAAAAAAAAAAAAAGACAAAGAAGUAGGUCACAGAUACAGAAGUGACACCUCUGAGCUGCUCAGUGACUUCUUGGGCAACACCCACAGUUGGCCCCAGAGAGCAGCUACAUGUGUGCACACCACCUGUGUCGGUAUCACUGACCACCAAUGUGCACACACACCCCUUUGGCUAUAAAAUACACUAAAUACAAACUCAAGUAUUGGGACUGCAGACGACAGGAAUGAUCCUGAUCUCAGAGGUUGGGAGUGUGGAUCUGAGGUCUUCACACUAUGCAUUGUGCAGACCCACAUACUGGCCUUGCCACAUCUUCAUUUUAAAGCUCCAGCUAGUGACCCAACUUUUCCACAUUGGUUUUGUCCUUGGUAAAAAUAAAAA